GUAUGUGGUGCUGAGGAUCGAACCUGGGCCGCACCCAUGCCAGACCUCAGUGCCCAUAUUAACAUGGGAUUGACUUGUAAAUGGAGUCCCUCCAAACAGGAUGGCCACCAUGACAGUUCUGGAGGAGGACCAACUAAAGUAAAAAAUUCUACCACCCACACAUGAAGGAGGAGUUGAAGGUGGUCCCCAGUUCUCCUGGUAAACAUCAAACAGUAAUAAAUUUUGAGUCAGCGUUGUCUCCUGUGUUACUCUCUGCUCACCCAGAGACGGCACACUUUCUGGAGAGUGCUCUCUGCUUAAGCUUCACUUUGCUUUUACUAUACUUUCACCUCACUUCACUUUCAUUUAUAAUAAAGUUCUCUUGCAUGGCU